rnacentral:rRNA from 1 species
CCUACGGGACGCAGCAGUGGGGAAUAUUGGGCAAUGGGCGCAAGCCUGACCCAGCAAUGCCGCGUGAAGGAAGAAGGCCCUCGGGUUGUAAACUUCUUUUAUCAGGGACGAAGGAUGUGACGGUACCUGAUGAAUAAGCUCCGGCUAACUACGUGCCAGCAGCCGCGGUAAUACGUAGGGGGCAAGCGUUAUCCGGAUUUACUGGGUGUAAAGGGAGCGUAGGCGGUUCAGCAAGUCAGAAGUGAAAGCCCGGGGCUCAACUCCG